UGGGGAAUAUUGGACAAUGGGGGCAACCCUGAUCCAGCAAUGCCGCGUGUGUGAAGAAGGUCUUCGGAUUGUAAAGCACUUUCGACGGGGACGAUGAUGACGGUACCCGUAGAAGAAGCCCCGGCUAACUUCGUGCCAGCAGCCGCGGUAAUACGAAGGGGGCUAGCGUUGCUCGGAAUGACUGGGCGUAAAGGGCGUGUAGGCGGUUUACACAGUCAGAUGUGAAAUCCCCGGGCUUAACCUGGGAGCUGCAUUUGAUACGUGUAGACUAGAGUGUGAGAGAGGGUUGUGGAAUUCCCAGUGUAGAGGUGAAAUUCGUAGAUAUUGGGAAGAACACCGGUGGCGAAGGCGGCAACCUGGCUCAUGACUGACGCUGAGGCGCGAAAGCGUGGGGAGCAAACAGGUUAGAUACCCUGGUAGUCCACGCUGUAAACGAUGUGUGCUAGAUGUUGGGUAACUUUGUUAUUCAGUGUCGCAGUUAACGCG
rnacentral:rRNA from 1 species